rnacentral:ncRNA from 1 species
GAAAGGCCAUGUUUCGGCAUGGCUGGGUACGGUACUUCCGCACCCCAAUUAGG